UACGUAGGGUGCGAGCGUUGCCCGGAUUUAUUGGGCGUAAAGCGCUCGCAGGUGGUUCGUCGCGUCGUGCGUGAAAGACCCCGGCUCAACUGGGGGAGGUCGUGCGAUACGGGCGGACUGGAGGCCAGUAGGGGGAUGCGGAAUUCCGGGUGUAGUGGUGGAAUGCGUAGAGAUCCGGAGGAACACCAGCGGCGAAGGCGGCAUCCUGGACUGGUCCUGACACUCAUGAGCGAAAGCGUGGGGAGCGAGCCGG
rnacentral:rRNA from 1 species